rnacentral:rRNA from 1 species
AUUGAACGCUGGCGGCAGGCCUAACACAUGCAAGUCGAGCGAGCGGCGGACGGGUGAGUAAUGUCUGGGAAACUGCCUGAUGGAGGGGGGUAACUACUGGAAACGGUAGCUCAUACCGCAUACCAUCAUAUGUUCCCAGAUUGGAUUAGCUAGUAGGUGGGGUAAUGGCUCACCUAGGCGACGAUCCCUAGCUGGUCUGAGAGGAUGACCAGCCACACGGGAACUGAGACACGGUCCAGACUCCUCCGGGAGGCAGCAGUGGGGAAUAUUGCACAAUGGGCGCAAGCCUGAUGCAGCCAUGCCGCGUGUGUGAAGAAGGCCUUCGGGUUGUAAAGCACUUUAAGCUGGGAGGCGUUACCAACAGAAUAAGCACCGGCUAACUUCGUGCCAGCAGCCGCGGUAAUAC